rnacentral:rRNA from 1 species
AUCCUGCGGACUGACUGUAUCGUAUUGGUACUAAGCCAUGCGAGUCGUUGUACAAUACAAGGCGGACUGCUCAGUAACACGUAGUUAACUUAACCUAUGGAUGGGAAUAACCUCGGGAAACUGAGAAUAAUACCCAAUGGGCCACAGUGCCCGGAAUGGCCUGUGGUUGAAAUGAUUUAUCGCCGUAGGAUAGGACUGCGGCCUAUCAGCUUGUUGGUGAGGUAAUGGCCCACCAAGGCUAUAACAGGUACGGGCUCUGAGAGGAGGGGCCCGGAGAUGGGUACUGAGACACGGACCCAGGCCCUAUGGGGCGCAGCAGGCGAGAAACCUUUGCAAUGUGCGAAAGCACGACAAGGUUAAUCCGAGUGUCUCCUGCUAAAGGAGUCUUUUGUCAGUUGUAGAAUCACUGGUGAAUAAGGGGUGGGCAAGUUCUGGUGUCAGCCGCCGCGGUAAAACCAGCACCUCGAGUGGUCAGGAGGUUUAUUGGGCCUACAGCAUCCGUAGCCGGUUGCAUAAGUUUUCGGUUAAAUCUAUGCGCUUAACGUAUAGGCCGCCGAAAAUACUGUGCAGCUAGGGAGUGGGAGAGGUUCCGGUACUCGAUAGGACGGGGUAAAAUCCUUUGAUCUAUUGAAGACC